GCUGAAGUUCAUGGUCUUCAUCUAGAUUUAGAUCCUUUUGAAGCUCAUUGUGAUACCUACAGGAUUGAUGAUAAACAGGACGGAACUAGCUCACUCUCACCGAAAUCAGACCUCCACAAUAUGGAAGCCCACUACUUCCACCAUAGGGCAUGAAGAAUCUUGUUGCAGAGCUAAAGUUUCGGAUGAUGACUUUAGUUCUUCACAUUGUA
rnacentral:misc_RNA from 1 species